CAGCAGCCGCGGUAAUACGAGAGGCCCGAGCGUUAGGCGGAAUCACUGGGCUUAAAGGGUGCGUAGGCGGAUCGGCAGGCGUCUUGUGAAAUCCCCGGGCUCAACCCGGGAAUCGCAGGGCGAACCGCCGGUCUUGAGGCAGGUAGGGGUCGCUAGAACGUUCGGUGGAGCGGUGAAAUGCGUAGAUAUCGAACGGAAUGCCAGAGGUGAAGACGAGCGACUGGGCCUGAUCUGACGCUGAGGCACGAAAGCGUGGGGAGCAAACAGGAUUAGAUACCCUGGUAGUCCACGCCGUAAACGAUGCGCACUGGACCGGUGCAGGUCUGACCCUGUACUGGUCGUAGAGAAAUCAUUAAGUGCGCCGCCUGGGGAGUACGGUCGCAAGGCUAAAACUCAAAG
rnacentral:rRNA from 1 species